GCCUUAUAGAUAUAUUCAAAAAAAACUUAUUUAAAAGAAUAGGAUAGAAAUAAUAUACUUAGAGAUGACAAAAUCCUACAUCUAGUUGAUCAAGGAUAGAUUGGUUUUAUACAAACUAAGAACUCUUCUAAUAUGGGAAUAUACAUUGUAUUUUGCCACACUUAUCAUACCUCUUAGAUCACUUGACAAUUUUUUUUAUUCAUUUUCUAUGAAACAAUUAAGCAAAACAAUAAGAGAAUUAUCAAAGGUACUCAAAGGCGAUGUACGCUUUGAUGACAAGCAUAUUAAUCUGCUUGCAGACUUCAUGACAAACAAAGAUAAGAUGGUACCUGUGAAU
rnacentral:lncRNA from 1 species